UUUGUGUUCUACUGAAGAAACAAAGUCACCUACAUCUUGGAUGCCCUGGUGCAUCUUCCGCGGACUCCAUUUGCCAGCAUCCCUCUGGUUCCUCACCUGCACUCACUCGCCAAUCACCUGCACCUGAAACUCAUCACCUUGCUACUGUCACCCACCAUCCAUCUGCCAGUCUUCCAUCCACUCUCCACUCCUGCAAUAGAGACAUUGUUUACCAUUCAAGCUAAGUUCCAUCUCAAACGUUCUUCAGCAUCUCUACUUACCUGUAUUCUCCUCUGCCAGAUCCAUGCCUCUGUUUAAAUAAAACUACCUGUUAUUCACUUACCUGCCUGCCUCCAUCUGUGUUUGUGUGCCUGACACUGGUAAGGACAUAUUAUAAUAAUGCAAUAAAGUUUAACUCACUUGCAUCUGGUCCAUUGAUGAAGCCAUGGCUGCGUUCAGCCCUGACAAAAUGUUGCAAAAAGAUUUUUAAAUGGAAACGGUGAUGUGUUGAACACCCUGUUGUGAUGACGCAAGAGUUGCAACUAUGGCAGCUGAGAAGGCCAUUCUUUGUGUUCUUUCAGAAGAAUUUUCUGAGCCUGAUGAAAUCGGUAUAAAUGUGUUUAAUACUGCAAAAUAUGCUUUGUUACAGUCAGCGCAGAGGUAUGGCAAGCCAAAAGGGUCCGAAUUAUGCUAUAGAUUAAUCACGUCUACAGUCAAACGCUGUCAAAUAGGGCGUUUUAAACCGUAUUUGUGCCGCAAAAUACGCCGUUGUGAUUACAAACGCAGUAAAAAAAAUGUGUGAAAAUACGUCAAAGACGCCAAAUUUGGCGGCGUUUUAGUGUGCAUGAAAAGCGCCACUUUAUGCCAUCCAUCUUGCCAUAUGACACAGGGGGAAAAAAAACAGUGCACGCGUCUUUUACGACGUUUGCUUAUAGCAGGGAUGGGCAACUCCGGUCCUGGAGGUCCAGUGUCCUGCAGAGUUUAUCUCCAUCCCUGAUAAUUCACUUGCCUAUAACUUUCUACUAAUCCUAAAGACCUUGAUUAGCUGGUUCAGGUGUGUUUGUUUAGGGUUGGAGCUAAACUCUGCUGGGCAGUGGCCCUGCAGGACUGAAGUUGCCCAUCCCUGGCUUAUAGUAUGAGUUAUGCCCAUGAU